rnacentral:rRNA from 1 species
UUAAAUUGAAGAGUUUGAUCAUGGCUCAGAUUGAACGCUGGCGGCAGGCCUAACACAUGCAAGUCGAACGGUAACAGGAAGCAGCUUGCUGCUUCGCUGACGAGUGGCGGACGGGUGAGUAAUGUCUGGGAAACUGCCUGAUGGAGGGGGAUAACUACUGGAAACGGUAGCUAAUACCGCAUAACGUCGCAAGACCAAAGGGGGGGGACCUUCGGGCCUCUUGCCAUCGGAUGUGCCCAGAUGGGAUUAGCUUGUUGGUGGGGUAACGGCUCACCAAGGCGACGAUCCCUAGCUGGUCUGAGAGGAUGACCAGCCACACUGGAACUGAGACACGGUCCAGACUCCUACGGGAGGCAGCAGUGGGGAAUAUUGCACAAUGGGCGCAAGCCUGAUGCAGCCAUGCCGCGUGUAUGAAGAAGGCCUUCGGGUUGUAAAGUACUUUCAGCGGGGAGGAAGGGAGUAAA